AUUGAACGCUGGCGGCAGGCCUAACACAUGCAAGUCGAACGGUAACAGGAAGACGCUUGCUUCUUUGCUGACGAGUGGCGGACGGGUGAGUAAUGUCUGGGAAACUGCCUGAUGGAGGGGGAUAACUACUGGAAACGGUAGCUAAUACCGCAUAACGUCGCAAGACCAAAGAGGGGGACCUUCGGGCCUCUUGCCAUCGGAUGUGCCCAGAUGGGAUUCGCUAGUAGGUGGGGUAACGGCUCACCUAGGCGACGAUCCCUAGCUGGUCUGAGAGGAUGACCAGCCACACUGGAACUGAGACACGGUCCAGACUCCUACGGGAGGCAGCAGUGGGGAAUAUUGCACAAUGGGCGCAAGCCUGAUGCAGCCAUGCCGCGUGUAUGAAGAAGGCCUUCGGGUUGUAAAGUACUUUCAGCGGGGAGGAAGGGAGUAAAGUUAAUACCUUUGCUCAUUGACGUUACCCGCAGAAGAAGCACCGGCUAACUCCGUG
rnacentral:rRNA from 1 species